rnacentral:rRNA from 1 species
AAAUUGAAGAGUUUGAUCAUGGCUCAGAUUGAACGCUGGCGGCAGGCCUAACACAUGCAAGUCGAACGGUAACAGAAAGCAGCUUGCUGCUUUGCUGACGAGUGGCGGACGGGUGAGUAAUGUCUGGGAAACUGCCCGAUGGAGGGGGAUAACUACUGGAAACGGUAGCUAAUACCGCAUAACGUCGCAAGACCAAAGAGGGGGACCUUCGGGCCUCUUGCCAUCGGAUGUGCCCAGAUGGGAUUAGCUAGUAGGUGGGGUAACGGCUCACCUAGGCGACGAUCCCUAGCUGGUCUGAGAGGAUGACCAGCCACACUGGAACUGAGACACGGUCCAGACUCCUACGGGAGGCAGCAGUGGGGAAUAUUGCACAAUGGGCGCAAGCCUGAUGCAGCCAUGCCGCGUGUAUGAAGAAGGCCUUCGGGUUGUAAAGUACUUUCAGCGGGGAGGAAGGGAGUAAAGUUAAUAC